UUGACUUCAUCCCUAAGCAGAUUCACCUCCGUCAUAGCAGCAUCUUACCUCACAGGAGUGGGAAAGAGGACUUGCAGGGUUAGCAGUUCCUUUACUUGAAUUUUUCUGUAUAUGUCUGCUUGGGCAUCUCUGGUCAGCCUUGGAGAAGCUGUUUUCAUGAUAAUCACGACUGCCUGCAAACCUGUUAUGGAUCCAAUUUUGAGUCAAAGUCUUUUUGCUUCACUUUAUUUCCAGCCAGUUCAACAGGUUGAUGGCAUGACACAGCCAAGACAGAGUGGGAACAUUCCAGUACUACUACAGCACAAGCAAUAAAACUCCGUUCUAAAGGAAAGAGAGACUAUGGAAAUGAAAA